AGUGAGAUGGCUGGGUCAAAUGUUGGUUCCAUUCCAAGUUUUCUAAGCAGUCUCCAUACUGCUUUCCAGAUUGACUGCACCAAUUUGCAGUUCCAUCAGCAAU
rnacentral:pre_miRNA from 1 species